rnacentral:rRNA from 1 species
CGAACGCUGGCGUCGUGCCUAAUGGAAGCAAGUCGCACGCAGGCGCCUUCCGGUGCCUGACUGGCGCAUUGCCCACGACCACAUGGGAACAUGCCUCCUUGUGGGGGACAACACCGCUAAAGCGGUGCUAAUCCCGCAUACUCUGGGUAACCAGGAAAGCCUUACGGCACAGGGAGAGUGGCCCGCGGCCGAUCACGUCGUCGGUGGGGUAACGGCCUACCGAGCCAAUGACCGGUAGCUGGUCUGUGAAGACAGACAGCCAGACUGGGACUGAGACACGGCCCAUACUCCUACCGGAGGCAGCA